AUUGAACGCUGGCGGCAGGCCUAACACAUGCAAGUCGAGCGGGGUUUUCGGACCUAGCGGCGGACGGGUGAGUAAUGCGUAGGAAGCUGCCCGAUAGAGGGGGAUACCAGUUGGAAACGACUGUUAAUACCGCAUAAUGUCUACGGACCAAAGUGUGGGACCUUCGGGCCACAUGCUAUCGGAUGCGCCUACGUGGGAUUAGCUAGUUGGUGAGGGAAUGGCUCACCAAGGCGACGAUCUCUAGCUGGUUUGAGAGGAUGAGCAGCCACACUGGAACUGAGACACGGUCCAGACUCCUACGGGAGGCAGCAGUGGGGAAUAUUGGACAAUGGGCGCAAGCCUGAUCCAGCCAUGCCGCGUGUGUGAAGAAGGCCUUCGGGUUGUAAAGCACUUUCAGCGAGGAGGAAGGGGUGUGUGUUAAUAGUACACACCUUUGACGUUACUCGCAGAAGAAGCACCGGCUAACUCUGUGCCAGCCGCCGCAGUAAGAC
rnacentral:rRNA from 1 species